GUGUUGUAUGAAAGGAGAGAAGGUUAGCACUCCUCUUGACAAGGAUGGAAGAGGCCCUUGGGCCUGACAACACGCAUAUGGUUAAGGCAUUACCACCUAUAUCGUGGCAUCUAACCAUCGAUUUUU
ensembl:snRNA